rnacentral:rRNA from 1 species
GUCGAACGGUGAAGCCAAGCUUGCUUGGUGGAUCAGUGGCGAACGGGUGAGUAACACGUGAGCAACCUGCCCUGGACUCUGGGAUAAGCGCUGGAAACGGUGUCUAAUACUGGAUAUGAGCCUCUAUCGCAUGGUGGGGGUUGGAAAGAUUUUUCGGUCUGGGAUGGGCUCGCGGCCUAUCAGCUUGUUGGUGAGGUAAUGGCUCACCAAGGCGUCGACGGGUAGCCGGCCUGAGAGGGUGACCGGCCACACUGGGACUGAGACACGGCCCAGACUCCUACGGGAGGCAGCAGUGGGGAAUAUUGCACAAUGGGCGGAAGCCUGAUGCAGCAACGCCGCGUGAGGGAUGACGGCCUUCGGGUUGUAAACCUCUUUUAGCAGGGAAGAAGCGAAAGUGACGGUACCUGCAGAAAAAGCGCCGGCUAACUACGUGCCAGCAGCCGCGGUAAUACGUAGGGCGCAAGCGUUAUCCGGAAUUAUUGGGCGUAAAGAGCUCGUAGGCGGUUUGUCGCGUCUGCUGUGAAAUCCCGAGGCUCAACCUCGGGUCUGCAGUGGGUACGGGCAGACUAGAGUGCGGUAGGGGAGAUUGGAAUUCCUGGUGUAGCGGUGGAAUGCGCAGAUAUCAGGAGGAACACCGAUGGCGAAGGCAGAUCUCUGGGCCGUAACUGACGCUGAGGAGCGAAAGGGUGGGGAGCAAACAGGCUUAGAUACCCUGGUAGUCCACCCCGUAAACGUUGGGAACUA